rnacentral:lncRNA from 1 species
CCCCCCCCCCCCCCCCCCCCCGCCGUCUUCCUCCCGUCUCCCUUCCGGCACCGACCACAUCCGGCCCCACGUGCCAACCGUAGACCUGCAGGCGCCCGGGGCAGUCGACCCCGACGCGAUCCAGCCCGGCGGGCUCCUUUCUGUCCAGUGCUGGAUUCCAGCUGGUGGGAAGGACUAACGUGUUCUCUGUGGGAGAUGAUCUCACCGACUAUGCCUGUGGGGCCUUUGGUGCCUGUGACCCCGUGUCCUCGCACAGCUGGCCCAGGACAAAACACACUGGGACCCCAGCAGAUGCAGGCUCACAACCUCACAGCAACAAGUCCAGCAGAGAAAGAGCUUCUCUUUGUCAACCAUCCCACCAGGCCUUGGGCCCGGCUCUCAUCAGCAGGACUGGGCCACCUGUCCCUCCUGUUCUCCCAGCCACCGUGACCUCGAGUGCAUGUUCUCUCUCUCAAAUUAAGAAAAAAAAAUGUCGAAAGAAAGUCAUUGCCAAUGGAGAAUUCUGUGCCCAAAGAACAAGGGACUAAGAACAGUCAGCUUGUCCAAAAUCAUGGUGAGAAAAGGGGAGAUCUGGAACUAGAAUCAAGGCUUCCUGAACAUUUCAGUGUCCUUCAGGUGGGUUGUUUUGUUUUGUUUUGUUUUAUUUUGCUCCAUAGAUAUGUCUUAAAGCACUGAAUGAAAAGAAAACAAGACAUCUCAAUAUUAUUGAGAGAGGAGAUGAAAAAGUUUAUCUUCAGUUUGAUUUUUUUUUUGGAAAUUGCAUUCCAAAGCCAGUUGGGGUCACCCAUACUCUCUCUCAACGUACUCAGGUUACUUAUAUUUUUUAACACUGGCUGAGUUGACUUGGGUUCUGAGAUUCUUUGCCUCCAGCCCAGGAUUCUCUGCUGAGCAACAGACAAGAACAUCCAAUAUUUGUUCAGUGAUUCCACCUGAAUCUCCAC